rnacentral:rRNA from 1 species
AGUGAACGCUGGCGGUAGGCCUAACACAUGCAAGUCGAACGGCAGCACAGUAAGAGCUUGCUCUUACGGGUGGCGAGUGGCGGACGGGUGAGGAAUACAUCGGAAUCUACUUUUUCGUGGGGGAUAACGUAGGGAAACUUACGCUAAUACAGCAUACGACCUACGGGUGAAAGCAGGUGAUCUUCGUACCUUGCGCGAUUGAAUGAGCCGAUGUCGGAUUAGCUAGUUGGCGGGGUAAAGGCCCACCAAGGCGACGAUCCGUAGCUGGUCUGAGAGGAUGAUCAGCCACACUGGAACUGAGACACGGUCCAGACUCCUACGGGAGGCAGCAGUGGGGAAUAUUGGACAAUGGGCGCAAGCCUGAUCCAGCCAUACCGCGUGGGUGAAGAAGGCCUUCGGGUUGUAAAGCCCUUUUGUUGGGAAAGAAAAGCAGCAGGUUAAUACCCCGCUGUUCUGACGGUACCCAAAGAAUAAGCACCGGCUAACUUCGUG